rnacentral:rRNA from 1 species
UAGCGACAGGCUUAACACAUGCAAGUCGAGGGGUAGCACAGGUAGCAAUACCGGGUGGCGACCGGCGCACGGGUGAGUAACGCGUAUGCAACUUGCCUAUCAGAGGGGGAUAACCCGGCGAAAGUCGGACUAAUACCGCAUGAAGCAGGGAUCCCGCAUGGGAAUAUUUGCUAAAGAUUCAUCGCUGAUAGAUAGGCAUGCGUUCCAUUAGGCAGUUGGCGGGGUAACGGCCCACCAAACCGACGAUGGAUAGGGGUUCUGAGAGGAAGGUCCCCCACAUUGGUACUGAGACACGGACCAAACUCCUACGGGAGGCAGCAGUGAGGAAUAUUGGUCAAUGGCCGAGAGGCUGAACCAGCCAAGUCGCGUGAGGGAUGAAGGUUCUAUGGAUCGUAAACCUCUUUUAUAAGGGAAUAAAGUGCGGGACGUGUCCCGUUUUGUAUGUACCUUAUGAAUAAGGAUCGGCUAACUCCGUGCCAGCAGCCGCGGUAAUACGGAGGAUCCGAGCGUUAUCCGGAUUUAUUGGGUUUAAAGGGUGCGUAGGCGGCCUUUUAAGUCAGCGGUGAAAGUCUGUGGCUCAACCAUAGAAUUGCCGUUGAAACUGGGGGGCUUGAGUAUGUUUGAGGCAGGCGGAAUGCGUGGUGUAGCGGUGAAAUGCAUAGAUAUCACGCAGAACCCCGAUUGCGAAGGCAGCCUGCCAAGCCAUGACUGACGCUGAUGCACGAAAGCGUGGGGAUCAAACAGGAUUAGAUACCCUGGUAGUCCACGCAGUAAACGAUGAUCACUAGCUGUUUGCGAUACACUGUAAGCGGCACAGUGAAAGCGUUAAGUGAUCCACCUGGGGAGUACGCCGGCAACGGUGAAACUCAAAGGAAUUGACGGGGGCCCGCACAAGCGGAGGAACAUGUGGUUUAAUUCGAUGAUACGCGAGGAACCUUACCCGGGUUUGAACGCAUUCGGACCGAGGUGGAAACACCUUUUCUAGUAAUAGCCGUUUGCGAGGUGCUGCAUGGUUGUCGUCAGCUCGUGCCGUGAGGUGUCGGCUUAAGUGCCAUAACGAGCGCAACCCUUGCCACUAGUUACUAACAGGUAAAGCUGAGGACUCUGGUGGGACUGCCAGCGUAAGCUGCGAGGAAGGCGGGGAUGACGUCAAAUCAGCACGGCCCUUACAUCCGGGGCGACACACGUGUUACAAUGGCGUGGACAAAGGGAAGCCACCUGGCGACAGGGAGCGAAUCCCCAAACCACGUCUCAGUUCGGAUCGGAGUCUGCAACCCGACUCCGUGAAGCUGGGUUCGCUAGUAAUCGCGCAUCAGCCAUGGCGCGGUGAAUACGUUCCCGGGCCUUGUACACACCGCCCGUCAAGCCAUGGGAGCCGGGGGUACCUGAAGUCCGUAACCGCGAGGAUCGGCCUAGGGUAAAACUGGUA